CUGGUGGCCCCGCACUGCUCCAGGCACUGGAGAGACAGAUGGGGAAAUGGAAGCACAGAGAGGCCAAGACACUUGUUCAAGGCCACACAGCCCGUAAGUGGUAAGGACAGGACUUGAAUCUGAGCAGUCCAGCUACAGAGCCCACAUGCUGAAACCACCGUGCUGUGCAGUUUUCUGGCAGGUGAUGCUGAUGACAGUGAUGACACUUUUGACACAGGGCUUUGAGGAACAGUCUGUAAAGAACACCUCCCCAGCCGUGGUGACUCACGCCUGUAUUCCCAGCGAUUCGGGAGGCUGAGGACAGAGGAUCACUUGCAGCCAGGAGUUCAAGACCAGCCUCAGCAACAUAGCGAGACCUCAUCUCUUAAAAUAAAUU